UCAGAGCCCUUGGAUGUAGCAUAUAGUGUUUACCUCUUCCAUUUGCACACAUAGUUCCUCCUGGUCAACUCUUUUCUUUCAUUCAGGUGGAUAACGUCUAAUAGUUGAGCCUCCAGGCCAUUAUGUUCAAUAUUUGGAGGGGAGAAUGGAAGAUGUGGCCUGCUCCCUGUGACAGAUUUUGGUGGUGCAGAAGACAUUUGUGUUGACCCUGAGACAGAUACAGAAGGAUGGGAAUCCACGGCUGUCUGGGCCACCAUGGGUGCCUCUGGCUUCUUGAAAGUCAAGCCUCCUCGUUCUCCAUCCCAAGGAGCUUGAAAUCCAGACUUGGACGAAUCCCUGAAGUUGCCCUUGACCCAACCAUUGGUCGACACUGAUGCUACCAACGUUGAUGAAAGCGGUGACUCGGCACUGGAGUCAGGGGGAUGGAGUACUAUUUCAUACAGCACAGACUGCAGGCAAAGUUCCCUGCUCUUUCUUGUCUGCUUUGAGAAAGUGACACAGUUUUCUCCGAGGCAAAUUAGGCACUCACCAUGACUAUCCAAAGAGGGUAGUAUUCCUCUAUACAAGGAAUAGGAUAUGAAUGGCGCAAAUCCUUCAUGAUGCGAAUAGUGCAGCAGUCGAGAAGGAACUGAGAAGGCACUCGCCUGCCAAGAAUAAUGGUCAUGCCACGUGUGCAAUUCAACAAAGCCAAAGAGCACCUCAUGGAGCUUGGAAUUCUUCUGUGGGGCUUACUGCACAGGUGCAGAACCCAAAUUGUGAGGGAACAUGGAUCACCGCAAAGAUCAAUUUAUUCAUAAGCAAUACAUGCAGAACAGAUUAAAAAACAGCUUUACUUAUGCUGGGAUGAUUCUGCAGUCACUCCAAUGACCAUGAGAAUGGGAGGGAGAAGGGACUGAUAUACUGAAACAGCACAUCUAAUCUCCUAAAUAAGAAUAUGAACAGGUCAUUCUAUUAAAUCCACGAAGACCUCUAUUCAUUUAGGGUACUAAAGUAAAAUUCUACUGUCUGCACUACCUUACUAAAAAUCUUUACUUCAAAGUCUCCUUCAUAACCAGUGUUCUGUUUAAUUUUUUCCAUCUCUGUGCAGAAUACGUUUUGUUCUGGGUGGCAGUAUGAAGGCAGUGUGUGCGCAAAUUCAACCUGAGGGGGAUCUAAAAUUAACUGAGCGGACAUCAAAAAUGUGUGUGUGAACACUUGCGCACACCUUAGAGGGAACACUAUUCACAACAACCUUUUAUUCUCACCAGAUUUCUAUCAUUGUCAUUCCAGGUUUGA